rnacentral:tRNA from 1 species
CUUCUCGUACAGCACGUCGGCGCUGUCGCAGGUUGGACCUGCGAGCACGCACGGGGUCAUGUCCGCGCCGUCGUGACGGGUGCG